GAUGAACGCUGGCGGCGUGCCUAAUACAUGCAAGUCGAGCGAACGGACGAGAAGCUUGCUUCUCUGAUGUUAGCGGCGGACGGGUGAGUAACACGUGGAUAACCCACCUAUAAGACUGGGAUAACUUCGGGAAACCGGAGCUAAUACCGGAUAAUAUUUUGAACCGCAUGGGUCAAAAGUGAAAGACGGUCUUGCUGUCACUUAUAGAUGGAUCCGCGCUGCAUUAGCUAGUUGGUAAGGUAACGGGUUACCAAGGCAACGAUGCGUAGACGACCUGAGAGGCUGAUAGGCCACCCGGGAGCUGGACCGCGGACCAUACUCCUACGGGAGGGACCAGUAGGGAACGUGACGCAGUGGGCGAAAGCAUGACGGAGCAGCGCGGCGUGAGUGAUGAAGGUCUUGGGAUCGUAAAACUCUGUUAUUAGGGAAAAACAUAUGUGUAAGGAACUGUGCACUGCUUGACGGUACCUAAUCAGAAAGCCACGGCUAACUACGUG
rnacentral:rRNA from 1 species